GCAUAUCAUAAGCGGAGGAAAAGAAACCAACCGGGAUUGCCUCAGUUAACGGCGAAGUGAAGCGGCAAGAAGCUCAAAUUUGAAAGCUGGCCCCUCCGGGGUCCGCAUUGUAAUUUGCAGAGGAUGCUUCGGGUGCAGCCCCCGUCUAAGUGCCCUGGAAUGGGCCGUCAGAGAGGGUGAGAAUCCCGUCUGGGAUGGGGUGCCUGUGCCCGUGUGAAGCUCCUUCGACGAGUCGAGUUGUUUGGGAAUGCAGCUCUAAAUGGGUGGUAAAUUUCAUCUAAAGCUAAAUAUUGGCCGGAGACCGAUAGCGCACAAGUAGAGUGAUCGAAAGAUGAAAAGCACUUUGAAAAGAGAGUUAAACAGCACGUGAAAUUGUUGAAAGGGAAGCGCUUGCGACCAGACUCGCCUCCGGGGUUCAGCCGGCAUUCGUGCCGGUGUACUUCCCCGGGGGCGGGCCAGCGUCGGUUUGGGCGGCCGGUCAAAGGCCUCCGGAAUGUAGCGCCCUUCGGGGCGCCUUAUAGCCGGGGGUGCAAUGCGGCCAGCCUGGACCGAGGAACGCGCUUCGGCUCGGACGCUGGCAUAAUGGUCGUAAACGACCCGUCUUGAAACACGGACCAAGGAGUCUAACAUCUACGCGAGUGUUCGGGUGUCAAACCCGUACGCGCAGUGAAAGCGAACGGAGGUGAGAGCCCCCUCGUGGGGCGCAUCAUCGACCGAUCCUGAAGUCUUCGGAUGGAUUUGAGUAGGAGCGUAGCUGUGGGGGACCCGAAAGAUGGUGAACUAUGCCUGAAUAGGGCGAAGCCAGAGGAAACUCUGGUGGAGGCUCGCAGCGGUUCUGACGUGCAAAUCGAUCGUCAAAUUUGGGUAUAGGGGGCGAAAGACUAAUCGAACCAUCUGGUAGCUGGGUUCCUGCCGA
rnacentral:rRNA from 1 species